UGGGGAAUAUUGCACAAUGGGGGAAACCCUGAUGCAGCGACGCCGCGUGGAGGAUGACGGCCUUCGGGUUGUAAACUCCUUUUGUCAGGGACAAUGGUGAUGGUACCUGACGAAUAAGCCACGGCUAACUCUGUGCCAGCAGCUGCGGUAAGACAGAGGUGGCGAGCGUUGUUCGGAAUUACUGGGCUUAAAGGGCGCGUAGGCGGUGGUGUAAGUCUGGGGUGGAAUGCUACAGCUCAACUGUAGAGCUGCCUUGGAAACUGCAUUACUCGAGUCGGUGAGGGGAAGGCGGAAUUCCUGGUGUAGCGGUGAAAUGCGUAGAUAUCAGGAGGAAGGUCUAUGGCGAAGGCGGCCUUCUGGCACUUGACUGACGCUGAGGCGCGAAAGCGUGGGG
rnacentral:rRNA from 1 species